AGAGUUUGAUUUUGGCUCAGGACGAACGCUGGCGGCGUGCCUAACACAUGCAAGUCGAACGGAGAAUUUUAUUUUGGUAGAAUUCUUAGUGGCGAACGGGUGAGUAACGCGUAGGCAACCUACCCUUUAGACGGGGACAACAUUCCGAAAGGAGUGCUAAUACCGGAUGUGAUCAUCGUGCCGCAUGGCAGGAUGAAGAAAGAUGGCCUCUACAAGUAAGCUACCGCUAAAGGAUGGGCCUGCGUCUGAUUAGCUAGUUGGUAGUGUAACGGACUACCAAGGCGAUGAUCAGUAGCCGGUCUGAGAGGAUGAACGGCCACAUUGGGACUGAGACACGGCCCAAACUCUUACGGGAGGCAGCAGUGGGGAAUCUUCCGCAAUGGACGAAAGUCUGACGGAGCAACGCCGCGUGAGUGAUGAAGGAUUUCGGUCUGUAAAGCUCUGUUGUUUAUGACGAACGUGCAGUGUGUGAACAAUGCAUUGCAAUGACGGUAGUAAACGAGGAAGCCACGGCUAACUACGUGCCAGCAGCCGCGGUAAUACGUAGGUGGCGAGCGUUGUCCGGAAUUAUUGGGCGUAAAGAGCAUGUAGGCGGCUUAAUAAGUCGAGCGUGAAAAUGCGGGGCUCAACCCCGUAUGGCGCUGGAAACUGUUAGGCUUGAGUGCAGGAGAGGAAAGGGGAAUUCCCAGUGUAGCGGUGAAAUGCGUAGAUAUUGGGAGGAACACCAGUGGCGAAGGCGCCUUUCUGGACUGUGUCUGACGCUGAGAUGCGAAAGCCAGGGUAGCGAACGGGAUUAGAUACCCCGGUAGUCCUGGCCGUAAACGAU
rnacentral:rRNA from 1 species